rnacentral:rRNA from 1 species
UACGGAGGGUGCGAGCGUUGUCCGGAAUCAUUGGGCGUAAAGGGCGCGUAGGUGGCCCGGUGAGUCUUUGGUGAAAGCGCGGGGCUCAACCCUGCGUCGGCCAGGGAUACUGCCGCGGCUCGAGCACUGUAGAGGCAGGCGGAAUUCCGGGUGUAGCGGUGGAAUGCGUAGAGAUCCGGAAGAACACCGGUGGCGAAGGCGGCCUGCUGGGCAGUUGCUGACACUGAGGCGCGACAGCGUGGGGAGCAAACAGG